rnacentral:rRNA from 1 species
UCGAUUCCCUUAGUAGCGGCGAGCGAAACGGGAAGAGCCCAAACCAACAAGCUUGCUUGUUGGGGUUGUAGGACACUCUAUACGGAGUUACAAAGGACGACAUUAGACGAAUCAUCUGGAAAGAUGAAUCAAAGAAGGUAAUAAUCCUGUAGUCGAAAAUGUUGUCUCUCUUGAGUGGAUCCUGAGUACGACGGAGCACGUGAAAUUCCGUCGGAAUCUGGGAGGACCAUCUCCUAAGGCUAAAUACUCUCUAGUGACCGAUAGUGAACCAGUACCGUGAGGGAAAGGUGAAAAGCACCCCGGAAGGGGAGUGAAAUAGAACCUGAAACCGUGUGCUUACAAGUAGUCAGAGCCCGUUAAUGGGUGAUGGCGUGCCUUUUGUAGAAUGAACCGGCGAGUUACGAUUUGAUGCAAGGUUAAGCAGUAAAUGUGGAGCCGUAGCGAAAGCGAGUCUGAAUAGGGCGUUUAGUAUUUGGUCGUAGACCCGAAACCAGGUGAUCUACCCUUGGUCAGGUUGAAGUUCAGGUAACACUGAAUGGAGGACCGAACCGACUUACGUUGAAAAGUGAGCGGAUGAACUGAGGGUAGCGGAGAAAUUCCAAUCGAACCUGGAGAUAGCUGGUUCUCUCCGAAAUAGCUUUAGGGCUAGCCUCAAGUGAUGAUUAUUGGAGGUAGAGCACUGUUUGGACGAGGGGCCCCUCUCGGGUUACCGAAUUCAGACAAACUCCGAAUGCCAAUUAAUUUAACUUGGGAGUCAGAACAUGGGUGAUAAGGUCCGUGUUCGAAAGGGAAACAGCCCAGACCACCAGCUAAGGUCCCAAAAUAUAUGUUAAGUGGAAAAGGAUGUGGCGUUGCCCAGACAACUAGGAUGUUGGCUUAGAAGCAGCCAUCAUUUAAAGAGUGCGUAAUAGCUCACUAGUCGAGUGACACUGCGCCGAAAAUGUACCGGGGCUAAACAUAUUACCGAAGCUGUGGAUUGUCCUUUGGACAAUGGUAGGAGAGCGUUCUAAGGGCGUUGAAGCAUGAUCGUAAGGACAUGUGGAGCGCUUAGAAGUGAGAAUGCCGGUGUGAGUAGCGAAAGACGGGUGAGAAUCCCGUCCACCGAUUGACUAAGGUUUCCAGAGGAAGGCUCGUCCGCUCUGGGUUAGUCGGGUCCUAAGCUGAGGCCGACAGGCGUAGGCGAUGGAUAACAGGUUGAUAUUCCUGUACCACCUAUAAUCGUUUUAAUCGAUGGGGGGACGCAGUAGGAUAGGCGAAGCGUGCGAUUGGAUUGCACGUCUAAGCAGUAAGGCUGAGUAUUAGGCAAAUCCGGUACUCGUUAAGGCUGAGCUGUGAUGGGGAGAAGACAUUGUGU